rnacentral:tRNA from 1 species
GCCGGAGUGGUGAAAUUGGUAAACGCAGCGGACUCAAAAUCCGCCGGGAGCAAUCCCUUGAGAGUUCGAUUCUCUCCUCCGGCACCA